CCUACGGGUGGCAGCAGUGAGGAAUAUUGGUCAAUGGCCGGAAGGCUGAACCAGCCAUGCCGCGUGAAGGUCAGUGCCCUAUGGGCGUUAAACUUCUUUUGUGCGGGAGCAAUAAUGGUCACGUGUGGCCAGACGAGAGUACCGUACGAAUAAGCAUCAGCUAACCUCGUGCCAGCAGCCGCGGUAAUACGGGGGAUGCAAGCGUUAUCAGGAUUUAUUGGGUUUAAAGGGUGCGUAGGCUGGGAGGUAAGUCAGCGGUGAAAUGCCCCCGCUCAACGGGGUGAAGUGCCAUUGAUACUGCCUGGCUGGAGUGCUGAUGCCGUGGGAGGAAUGUGUGGUGUAGCGGUGAAAUGCAUAGAUAUCACACAGAACACCGAUUGCGAAGGCAUCUCACGAAUCCGCGAUUGACGCUGAUGCACGAAAGCGUGGGUAUCAAACAGGAUUAGAUACCCUGGUAGUC
rnacentral:rRNA from 1 species